AUAAUCCAAUUUCUAACCCAAAAGAAAAACAUUUGAAAAAAGAAAAAAAGAAAAAAAAAAUCUAUACAGGCUAUAAGGUGGGAAAAAUAGAGAUAUGUUAGAUUCUUUCACACACAGAUAGUGUUAAUAAACUGUGCACUCAUUUCUUUAUAAGCUGUAGGUAGACACAGACAAAAGAAAGACACUUACCAAACGAACCCAAGCAAAUUCAUCGAAACCCCAGAACCCAAUAAAACCCUUUUGUUUUCGUUUUCCAUUACGAGGGUAUUUAUGGCAAUUUGAACACUUACCGUACAACCACCCAUCCUUAUGAUAGCCUCCGGUACCGACGGCCACCCUUAUAUGGCGGCGGCGGCGUCGGAAGGUACUUGGUCACGGCGGCGGCACCAUUCAACGUUGCCGUCGCCGUUACGGCCUUGGCUGGCUUCACACUGAUCAUGGCCUUGUUCUACACGGCCAGUAGGUUAAAAAAAAAAAAAAAGCAAUGGAAUUUCUCUGAGCUUUGUUUCGGAAACCCUAAACCCAAUGAAAAAUUAAUAUGUCAACCACCAAAUGUUUCGAUUUUUUUUUAAUUUGUUAUCUGGGAUUUUGUUUGUUUGUUUGUUUGUUUGGAUGUUUUUGCUUUUUUUUUUUUUUUUUUUUUUUUUAUACAACCUUGUAUAAGCUUCUAUAGAGGAAAGCUGUUCGACGAAGCCAACUUCGUCGUCGAAUUCCUCUCCUUCUUCUUCUUCGUCAUCGUCGUCGUCGUGGAUUCAUUUGCGUUCGGUUCUAUUCGUUGUUACUUCUUCUUCCCCAGCUUAUUGUUCCUCCUCUGAUUGAGCAAGACAUGCGACAGAUCUGGGAUUUCAGACCGUAAAGAUGAAAAAGUCGCUCCUUUUUUUCUUAUGCAAAAAGAGUAAAUAAAAUUAAUUCAUCGACAUAAAUUAUUGUUAUUUGUUUUAUGAUACAUACAUGAUGUAGUAUUAUAAUACAAGUUUUAUUGUAUUUUAUGGGCAGUCUUUUUUUUUUUGCCCCAAAA